AAAAAUAUAAUAAUAUGCAGAAAUCUAAUGUUUUAGUGUACUGAAAAUAUAUUAAUAUGCAGGAGUUCAAGGUUAUCAUGCUAUAAAAAACAGUAAACACUUAGAUUUGCAUUUAUAUGCUAAAACAAUGGCGAUGUCAUAAUUAAAUCAAUUUUUUGACAAUUAUGCAUACCAUAUUGUUAUAUUUAAAUAUUGUUCAUAUGUUGAAAACAUGAAGUGGCAUACUUAUCUAAGUGUCUAACAUGUUAAAAAUGCAUUAGUGUGCAAAUAUUAAUUAUUGACAUGCUCAUAAUAUUAACGUGCUCAUAUUUAUUUUAAUAUGUCUAAAUUGUGUUAACAUGCCUAAACAUACAAUGAUGUCAAUAAGUUAUGGCUUAGGUGUCCAAACACUUCGAAUAUUAGAUGAUUUAUAUAGCACGUCAUGCACGUAAAAUUUUAAGUUGUGCCUACCUAUACUAUUCACAGAGCACGUAAGUUUCCACCUUCGAGCAGUCCCCAAAAUUUAUUAUUACAUCAAUAUCAUGUUUUUUACAUUAAUAGUAUAAACCCAUAUAAAAAAACAAUAAUAACAACUAAUUAUAAAGAAUAACAUAGCCCGUUUAAAUAUUCCGAUGAAUCUUCGAUUUCCGAACCUGUUGAACACAACAAAAUAGCAUGGCAAGCACAAAAAUAUAUACAAACAUGUGUCCAAAAUGGAGGUACAAAAGAAGCGAAGGCAUAGGAAACAAAGGCAUAGUAAGCAAACACAGCGUCAUCGAUUCAAAUUAAUUCCUAUAGACAUGCUCUCUAUGUUUUGCUAUCCCGAAUAUUAUGGAAUAAGAAAAUUAAUGCGUCGAUUAGCGACUUACCAGUUGGUGAUAAUAUAUAAUAAUAAUAAAGAAAAUCAAGAAGCACGAAAUUCGAAAGCGAAUUGUAACCAAAAGAAUGAGAUUAAUGCUUCAAAAAUGAGUGUCAAAAUAAUAAAGUAAAAUUAUUUUUUUUUAAUUUUAAACUUUAUGUUGUGUGCUGUAACUUGUUCAAAUAAGAGAGUGGGAAGGUUUAUAUAGUAAAGGGGGCUAGAAAUAUGUAAGGAAAUCAAUUAGUGGUGAUAAGAAAUGAAAAUAGGUCACUCUACACAAUCAAUCAGAAUCAAUUAAGAGGAGGAAAAUAUGCUGAUAAAUCAAUUAAUAGAUGUGUGCUGUAACUUGUUCAAAUAAGAGAGUGGGAAGGUUUAUAUAGUAAAGGGGGCUAGAAAUAUGUAAGGAAAUCAAUUAGUGGUGAUAAGAAAUGAAAAUAGGUCACUCUACACAAUCAAUCAGAAUCAAUUAAGAGGAGGAAAAUAUGCUGAUAAAUCAAUUAAUAGAAAACUUUGAAUAAGUGAAUCAAUCAUCCAUAAAUCAGUCCAAUAAUAAAGAAAAGCAGACGUUUAGAAAAAUCAAUCAACAAUAUUAUUUUCCUUAAUUAAAUAAAUAGAGUCAAUUAGGAUCAAAUUUACCAAAAAUAGAUAAGUAGAAAUAAUAUAGGAUGAAUCUUCCCGAUGGUUAGAAAUAGAAAGAUAAAAUACGAUUUUCAAUACUUUGCUUAUGUACAACUACAAAGUACCAAGCAUUCUAAUUGGAUUAGAUUAAUAUCAAUGGAUCCUUUAUCAGUCAUUCAUUGAAUGAUAAAUAACUACAAGUGACGGAGACAGACGAUUUAAAUAACGGAAAAUCCAAUAUUUAAAAAUUGUAUCGAGAAUGACUGGGAAGGUGGAAACAAGACCAGAUAUAAUUUGAUCAUUAUGAACAAACCCAAAAUCUUUAUAGAUAGAGCCAAUAAUUAAUUCCCAACCGCGGGGUGAAUGGAAUCCGAUACAUAAAUCAGUUAAUAAAAGAAUAGAAAAAGCUUUUACUGUGUCACUUACGUUAUAUAGGAAUUCCUGAGCCCAAGAGUUAAGAAUAACAAGUUUUUCAUUACCCAAAAUUGAAUACCCGCUUAGAAUAAUAAAACAGAUGAUAUUUGUUGAGAAGUGCAAAAUCGUAUGGAUACGAUUCUCAUUUUGCAUCUUGAUUAAUUGGAUCGUUUCUUUAUGGAUUCCUAUCCCAAACUCUUCGAGAUGUGUUUCCGAGUAUUCCUUGAUCAUUUCGUCCAAGAAGAGGAGUUCCUCUAAUUCUAUGAAUUUUUCUAGAAGACUCUUUUCUUGAAUACUAUUCAAGAAAAUUUCGGAUUGCCCAGACUAAGUGAUAAAAUAAUUAAUGAACACGCAUGUUAUUUUUUUGUUAUUUCUAAUUGUUGAUUAUCUAAGUGAUAAAAACAUAUAAUAAGAUAAGCAAGAAGAAAGAAAACAAUUAUAACAAAGGGAAUUGCCUAUGUAAUAAACUAACUACCCCAAAUAUAUGAACAUGUAAGGUAAAUAAAAUAAUAAAAGAAAUCCAUCAAAUCAAAUAAAGAAAAGUUUUGGUCUCAUUCGGAUCAAAACCCCAACUUGUUUAAUCAUCAUCCGACCCACUAGCCGAACUCUUAGUAAGUCAUGUCUAACCUUCAAUGUUGGUUGGAGAUCAUCACUUCCAAAUGACUACACAUCCCACCCCACCUAGGCUGGUUGUUAACUCUAAAGGCGUUCUAAGACAAGGAUAAAACUAGCGUCUUUGGUAAUUCCUAUCGUCCCGCCUAUUCUCCAAGAGGCAUUGGACUUAGCUAUUUUGGAUUUGUGGUCUAGACAAAAUAAAGCUAUGUUGAUUAGAACUCAAAACGCAUAACACAUUGGACGUCAAGAGGCAAGUAAUGUCUCACAUUAGCCCCUUAGUUAUUAAAGAGUUGAUUAAUGUGAUUAACAUGCAAAUACAAAGAAUAGCUAUUAGCCAAACAUAUCGAGAUCCAUAAGAACAACCGAGCGGUCGAAAUCCUGAUACUAUGGAUAUAAUUGAGUAAAAACAAAGGGGUAUUUUUAGGACAACAUCAAUCUGUGACUGAGAUACCGACAUUGAUGAAUCAAACCUAUAGUAAUGCCACACUCCUUGCCCGCCUCAUCCGCUCUUAGUCAGCUAACCAAGAAUCACAGGAAUUUGCCCUUUCACCCGAAUUUCCCUUCGAUUGAUUUUCCCUCCGCUUUAAACGUCUUUUCCCCACCUGUUCAAGGCACCUCGGUGUGAAACUUCUGCGUUGCUAUUUGCCCGUCCCUUUUCAAUCCAUGAUAACUAUCACGAAAUAUUAAAUCCUCAUUCUAAUUGUCAUUAAUCUAUUGACAUGAUAUCUAAGUGUUCAACAAGUGUCAGUGUGAUAAAACGUAACUGUGGCUCGAGAAUGUAACAAUGUAUUGUCAAAUUGUUAAAAGAAGGUCUCAAAAGUGUGGUAAAUAUGUCAAGAAAUUGUGCUCACGAAUUUCAUUGUGCAAGUGUUAAACUAAUGAGAAUAUAACAAAACAUUGAAAGUGCAUUAACAUGCUAAGUAAUACAAUUAUGUACAGAAUUUAGCGUUUAACAAGUUGAGGAUGCUCAAAAAGCUACUAGUAUGCAGUAAUUUCAUAUAAUUGUGCUAAAAAUGCAGUAACACAGUUUUAGUAACGUAGAAAUUUGACCGUCACGCGGAAAUUUUAUUCAAAUACCCCAGAAAUUAAACCUAACAUGCUGAAAAUUGACUCGUCAUGCUGAAAUUGUAUUUUUAAUAUGGAGUGAGCUAACAUGUAAGGACAUGCAGGAAUUUAAUGUGAAUGUGCCAAAAAUGCUUAAAUAAAUUGUUUAACAUGCUGAAAAUUUAUUAACAUGUUGAAAAAUAUAUUGACAUGCUUAUUUUAAUGUUAAGGCAUAUACAAGAAGAUACCACAUGCUCAAAUUUAGUGUUUAAUGAGCUAAGAAUGCUUAAUUCUAAUGUUUAAAAUGCUAAAAUUUAACAUGCUGAAACAUAUGGUAAUGUUCAAAAAAUUUAACGCUAACGUGUUUUAACAAUAUUUGUUUUAACAUACUAAAAUAUGUGAUAACAUAUUUUACGUGCCAAAAUCGCUUAAGACUAAUGUUUAACAUGUUACCAUGCAGGAAUGUGUAGGAAUUUAAUGCUAACAUGCGGUGAAAAAUUAAAUUAUUUUGUUAUGCCUAGAUCAAUGUUGACGUGCCAAACAUGCAAUGACAUGUUAAUAAGUUAUGGCUUUAAGUGCCAAAACGUUUUCGAAUAUUAGGUGAUUCAUAUAGCACGUAAUACACAGAAAAUCCUAAGUUGUGCCUACCUAUACUAUUCACAGAAAAUCCUAAGUUGUGCCUACCUAUACUAUUCACAGAAAAUCCUAAGUUGUGCCUACCUAUACUAUUCACAGAAAAUCCUAAGUUGUGCCUACCUAUACUAUUCACAGAAAAUCCUAAGUUGUGCCUACCUAUACUAUUCACAGAGCACGUAAGUUUCCACCUUCGAGCAGUCCCCAAAAUUUAUUAUUACAUCAAUAUCAUGUUUUUUACAUUAAUAGUAUAAACCCAUAUAAAAAAACAAUAAUAACAACUAAUUAUAAAGAAUAACAUAGCCCGUUUAAAUAUUCCGAUGAAUCUUCGAUUUCCGAACCUGUUGAACACAACAAAAUAGCAUGGCAAGCACAAAAAUAUAUACAAACAUGUGUCCAAAAUGGAGGUACAAAAGAAGCGAAGGCAUAGGAAACAAAGGCAUAGUAAGCAAACACAGCGUCAUCGAUUCAAAUUAAUUCCUAUAGACAUGCUCUCUAUGUUUUGCUAUCCCGAAUAUUAUGGAAUAAGAAAAUUAAUGCGUCGAUUAGCGACUUACCAGUUGGUGAUAAUAUAUAAUAAUAAUAAAGAAAAUCAAGAAGCACGAAAUUCGAAAGCGAAUUGUAACCAAAAGAAUGAGAUUAAUGCUUCAAAAAUGAGUGUCAAAAUAAUAAAGUAAAAUUAUUUUUUUUUAAUUUUAAACUUUAUGUUGUGUGCUGUAACUUGUUCAAAUAAGAGAGUGGGAAGGUUUAUAUAGUAAAGGGGGCUAGAAAUAUGUAAGGAAAUCAAUUAGUGGUGAUAAGAAAUGAAAAUAGGUCACUCUACACAAUCAAUCAGAAUCAAUUAAGAGGAGGAAAAUAUGCUGAUAAAUCAAUUAAUAGAAAAUUUUGAAUAAGUGAAUCAAUCAUCCAUAAAUCAGUCCAAUAAUAAAGAAAAGCAGACGUUUAGAAAAAUCAAUCAACAAUAUUAUUUUCCUUAAUUAAAUAAAUAGAGUCAAUUAGGAUCAAAUUUACCAAAAAUAGAUAAGUAAGAGAUAAUAAUAAUAAUAGUAAAAGGCAAUUAAUUCUAUAAAACACCCCCUUAAUCAUGACAACUUGAUUAUUCACCCAAUCCGAUUCAAAUUAUCAAUUAUUCACAAAUCAAUACCACACCCCCACAGAUAUUCAAAUCAAAUAUUCCUUACAAAAUCCAAUUCAAAUUAGUCACACAAUAUAAUCUAAAACACAUUACACAAUCAAAUAUUCUUUGUCAUAAGCACUAGAUGUCAAGUCUACCCCAAUAACGAGACGAGAAAUUUAUCGCUAAUUAACAAUCAAGAUGAGUAAUUUCAAAAGUCAGGAUAACAAUUAGCAACCUAUGACUAUGACAAAACUAAGCAUUCGUAAAAUUAAGACUUUUCACAUAUAUCAAACAAACAAGAAAUUAGAAGAAAGGUCAGCAAUCAUCAUCAACAACAACAGUAAACCUAAUAUAUUCCCACCUCGUGGGAUCUGGGAAGGUAAAAUGUACGCAGUCCAUACCACUACCUCUGGAGAAGAAAGGUCAGCAAUCAAAUUCCACAAAAUUAAAAUUAAGUUUUACUUAUAAAAACAAGAAGGGGUAGAAGACGAUGAUAAUAAUGAGUUGACAAAAAUUUAACAAAGGGAACAAAUCCAAAAUAAAUUGUGUGAAUUCUUCACGAUUUUCUAGUUAAUUAAGCGGAAAUUGGGUCUUGUUGAUGUUGUAGUUGGUGAUGUUGUUGUUGUGGUGGCGUCAGAUUGAGGGAGAGGAGGGGAGCCGACCGGCCGACGAUCGAUAAUGGAGAAGGAGAGGCGAACCCAGGUCGGUGCAGAGGUGAUGGCGGCAGUGUGAUGGUCGCUGCGCUGGAGGGGUGGACGGCUGAAGAAGUGGCAGUGGCCGAUUUUGCGGAGCUUCGUUGGUUUUCCGGUCAGUGAUGGUUCGUCGAUGGGUGGCGGUGCUCCGAGCUUCGCUGAUCAGCGGUGGCAGCCAUGGUUUCUGAGAGAAAGAGAGAGAGAUAAGAGGGUGGUGUGCGGCUGUUGGUUU
rnacentral:lncRNA from 1 species